UUGUUGGUGAGGUAACGGCUCAGCAAGGCGACGAUCCGUAGCUGGUCUGACAGGAUGAUCAGCCACACUGGGACUGAGACACGGCCCAGACUUCUACGGGAGUGAGCAGUGGGGAAUAUUGGACAAUGCGCGCAAGCCUGAUCCAGCCAUGCCGCGUGUGUGAGGAAUGCCUUCGGGUUGUAAAGCACUUUCUGCGAGGAGGAAAGGAUGGUUGCUAAUAUCAGCCGCCUGUGACGUUACUCGCAGAACACGCACCGGCUAACUCCGUGCCAGCAGCCGCGGGAAUACGGAGGGUGCAUGCGUUAAUCGGAAUUACUGGGCGUAGAGCGUGCGUAUGCGGGCUUUUACGUUGGAUGUGAUAGCCCCGGGCUCUGCCUGGGAACGGCCUCCGAAACUGACAUGCUCGAGUGCGGAAGAUGACUGUGGAAUUUCCUGUGUAGCGAUGAAAUGCGUAUGAUUUAGGAAGACACCAGUGGCGAUGCGACACUCUGGUCUGACACUGACGCUGAGGUACGAAAGCGUGGUGGGGCAAACAGGAUUAGAUACCCCUGGUAGUCCACGCCGUAAACGAUGUCUACUAGUCGUCGGCGACAUCUAAGCAGUCCUAGGUAAUCGCAGCUAACGCGAUAAGUAGACCGCGGGGGGAGUACGGACGCAAGGUUAAAACUCAAAUGAAUUGACGGGGACCCGCACAAGCGCUGGAGCAUGUGGCUUAAUUUGAAGCAACGCGAAGAACCUUACCUGGCCUCGACAUCCUGCGAAUCCUCUAGAGAUAGGGGAGUUCCUUCGGGAACGCAGAGACAGGUGCUGCAUGGCAGUCGUCAGCUCGUGUUGUGAAAUGUUGCGUUACGUCCCGUAACGAGCGCAACCCCUGUCGUCAGUUACCAGCACGUUAUGGUGGCCACUCUAGGGAGACUGCCGGUGACAAACCGGAGGAAGGUGGGGAUGACGUCAAGUCAUCAUGGCCCUUACGGCCAGGGCUACACACGUGCUACAAUGGGGCGUACAAACGGUUGCGAAGCAGCAAUGUGAAGUUAAUCUGAGAAAACUCCUAGUAGUCCGGAUUGGGGUCUGCAACUCGACCCCAUGAAGUCGGAAUCGCUAGUAAUCGCAAAUCAGAAUGUUGCGGUGAAUACGUUCCCGGGCCUUGUACACACCGCCCGUCACACCAUGGGAGUGGGUUGCUCCAGAAGUAGUUAGUCUAACCCUCGGGAGGACGAUUACCACGGAGUGAUUCAUGACUGGGGUG
rnacentral:rRNA from 1 species